AUCUCUGUGGCGAAAUUGGUUAUACGCAACGAUUUUAAAGAUCGUCCUCCUUUGGAGAUGUGAGUUCGAGUCUCACCAGAGAUA
rnacentral:tRNA from 1 species